UCAUUCAUAUUAUUGUCACGUAAGCUC
rnacentral:piRNA from 1 species